UCCCUGGUGGUCCAGUGGUUAAGACUCCACGCUGCCAGUGCAGGAGGUGUAGGUUCAAGCCCUGCUCAGGGAA
rnacentral:tRNA from 1 species